CCUUCUGAAUUCUUUUGACUGUGUAUGCUACGCUUUCAAUCAUCUGCUCAUUUACUUGAGCAUCUACUUGUAUUUUACAGUUUAGUUGAACUACCAGCAGAGCCAGUGGUACCUACGAAGUUAUCUUGUGAAGCUACUGAUGAUAUUACGAAACUCAGCUUCUCUUGAAAUGGUUGACUUAGAUAUGGCAUGGGAAAACAUGAGAUGACUUAUAAUUCAAUGAUCCCUCUCCUGUAUCCGGCAAAGAAGCUGUUCUGGUAUCAAGAAACGGAAGUUGUCCCCUUUAUUUGCUCAGACAACAGUGUUUUGUGCCAAGCACUAGUCCAGAAAAGUAGCCUCUGCUCCCAUAUGCCAAUACCCUUGGAUGCUUAUUUCGAAUAUCAAGUUUGUAGCAGGUGCAGCUCACAAAUAACAACAAAUGAUAGAUUCUUUGGAGAGGGUCCUUGCACUGGUGUCUUCUCAGGUAUUCAAAAUUUUUAUCACACUCGUUCAUAGUGCACAUUCACUUUCUACUUCAUUUUAGUGCAAUAUGCUCACUUCUGUUGAGUUUAUUGAUUAGUACACACUUUAUUUGUUGGAAUUUUACAAAUGUGGGCUAUCAUUAAUUAUGAAUAUUAUUAUGUUCAUAAAACUGGUCGAUUAAUGUAAGAUUUAGAUGAACACGAUAAGAACAAUAUUGUUAGUGAUGUAUUAUUGUGGUAUUUGGAUUGGUGUGGUUGAGUGGCAGCUUGUUGGCCUUGACUGGUACGUGACCAAUAAUGGGAGGGCAUGUUGGGCACUCAUAAGUCCCCUCUCCAGUUUUUGUUAUUAUAAUUUUUUGGCUUUCUCCAUUGAAGAGCUGCUUGUGGUUAUGAAGUUGGAUGCCCUAGGUGUUCACUUGAGCUUCUCUCUGUUAUCUUCUCACUCUAAAUGCCAUGGCCAACGAGGCACCCUUUCUAAAUCUCAUGAUCCUAGUGUUUUGUGUUUCAUAUGAUGGCAAAUAUCAAGUUUCUUUAUCUUAAAUUGAGUGCUAAAGAUUUUGCUUGAGAAUGCUGAGUGAAAGUUCAA